rnacentral:rRNA from 1 species
GACGAACGCUGGCGGCGUGCUUAACACAUGCAAGUCGAACGGAAAGGCCCUGCUUUUGUGGGGUGCUCGAGUGGCGAACGGGUGAGUAACACGUGGGUAACCUGCCCUUGACUUUGGGAUAACUUCAGGAAACUGGGGCUAAUACCGGAUAGGAGCUCCUGCUGCAUGGUGGGGGUUGGAAAGUUUCGGCGGUUGGGGAUGGACUCGCGGCUUAUCAGCUUGUUGGUGGGGUAGUGGCUUACCAAGGCUUUGACGGGUAGCCGGCCUGAGAGGGUGACCGGCCACAUUGGGACUGAGAUACGGCCCAGACUUCUACGGGAGGCAGCAGUGGGGAAUAUUGCACAAUGGGCGGAAGCCUGAUGCAGCAACGCCGCGUGCGGGAUGACGGCCUUCGGGUUGUAAACCGCUUUCGCCUGUGACGAAGCGUGAGUGACGGUAAUGGGUAAAGAAGCACCGGCUAACUACGU